GGCUUCAUUCAUGCUAAUCUGACUGCUUAGAGAUGGUCUCCUUUCAACAAUACUUUCACUUGUUUUUGAGUUUUCCUCGGUGGCACUAUGAUCUUGAAGUACUUCACCACUCGAUCUUAGGGUAAUGCUAAUCUGACUGCUUAGAGAUGGUCUCCUUUCAACAAUACUUUCACUUGUUUUUGGGUUUUCCUCGGUGGCACUAUGAUCUUGAAGUACUUCACCACUUGAUCUUAGGGUAAUGCUAAUCUGACUGCUUAGAGAUGGUCUCCUUUCAACAAUGCUGUCAAUUGUUUUUGGGUUUUCCUCGGUGGCACUAUGAUCUUGAGGUACUUCACCGCUCGAUCUCAUGGUAGUUGUUGAUACAUGAG
rnacentral:lncRNA from 1 species